GGGCAGGCCCGCCCUGUCGCUGCCGGCCGAGGCCGGGAGAGGAAAGUCCGGGCAACACAGAGCACCGCGCAAGCUAACGACUUGAUAUCCGUGAGGGUAUAGGAGCGUAACAGAGAACGACCGCCCGCAGGGGAUUUCCGUAAUCCCGGCGGGUAAGGGUGAAAAGGCGGGGUAAGAGCCCACCGCGGGGGCAGCGAUGCCGUCCGGCAGUACGUCUCGCGGGUUGCAAGACCGUGUAUACCGGCAAUUAAGGGUUGCUCGCCCGAUGCCGGGGGGUAGGUUGCUUGAGACGGCAGGAGACUGCCGCCCUAGAUAAAUGACAGGGGCCCGGGGUUCGCCCCGGGAACAGAACCCGGCUUACAGGGCCUGCACGUAC
rfam:Alistipes sp. CAG:29 genomic scaffold, scf155